GGAAAAAAAAAAAAAAAAAAAAAAGAAAAAAAGGAAAAUUGCAGGCUGAGAUUGGGCUGAUUCUAGUUUUAGGGUUAAAGAGCAAAAAUAGUAACAUAGAAAUACUUAAAAUCCCAGCUGAAAGCACUAGGGACUUAAUGGAAUAUGGUUAUAUAGCAGUAGUAAGGCUGUGUUGUUGCAAACAAUGAAAGUAAUACUUAUCUCCCUUACUUUUGCUUUUUUAUUCUCCAAGGAUUUUUUUCUGAGUGUUUUACAAGCAUCGUGGCUGUUCUAAUUUUCUCAUGUAAAUGAAUGCCUGUCCCAAGACAGUAUCUACAGGCUUACUGAUGUUAAUGUCA